rnacentral:lncRNA from 1 species
UCUGAGACACAGCAAUAUUGAAAUUAGGCCAAUUAAUAACUCUAUAAAGGCCUCUAUGUGUUCAAGUGAAAGUAAGAGUCACACAUCUCUUAUUAUAAAUCUAAAGUGAGAAAUGAUUAAGCUGAGUGAGGAAGGUAUGUUAAAAGCUGAGACAGGCCAAAAGGCCCAGGCUGGUCUCGAACUCCUGACCUCAAGCAAUCCACCUGCCGCAGCCUCCCAGGUAGCUGAGAUUAAAGGCAUGAGCCACCAUGUCCAGCUUCUAUGCAUUAUUUUAAAUGGAGUAUUGAAGACUCUGUUACUGUAGAACUAUUUCUAACUUCAAUUCUGUCAAUAUUUGGGUCACAGGCCUUAAUGUGAUUACACGCUGGUCUGAUGCUCAUGGCCAGGACAUUUUGUUUUCCUGUUGGACAUAAACAAUCUCACAGAAUAUCAACUUCAGAAGGUUAAUCUGAGACCGUGAUAAGUGCAAACAAAAACAAGGGCACUUUAUAAUGUUGUCUAAGUGCAGAUAAAAAACAAGGUCUUGAUGCCACCCACAAAAUACUUAAUAAUCAUAUUGCUCCUGCUUUCUGACAGCAUCCAAUCUAAAGUCUUCACUUUCUGAGAUCCUGUCCGAAAUCAACCAAUUAAAGUCCAAAUCGUAUAAUAGUUUCUCUCUAACUCCUCCCACUGAGAUGACCCAUAGUACCCCAUUCCUUGCUGCAAUGUAAUUAUAUUUACUUACAAGUGUGCUCCUGGUGGUCUUUAACUGAAGGGCACUGACUGGGUCACUGGUGAAGUUCCCCGCAGGAACUGAGUCAGACCCCAUCUCAGGGCCCUGCACAAGAUAGGUACCUGCUCUAAGGCGUGGACCCUCGCCACAGCCCUGGCCCGUCUUGACGGGCGAGGGUUACUGUACUUGUCCCAACCGUACAGAUGAGAAAGCUGAGACUCAGGGCCAGCAACCCGGGUCCCAGCGGAGCGCCCGGCACGCGCCAACACUUCAGCACCAGUCGCGGUGGCCACCACUGUGCGCGGAGAUGGCUGCGACGCGUGCGCAGGGAAAUUUGUGCACAGAGAUAACACAGGGGAUAUGCCAUAUGAAGAUGAAGGCAGAAUUCUACAAGCCCAGGGAUGCCAAAGAUUGCCAGCAAACCACCAGAAGCUAGGAGAGAAGUGUGGAUUAGAUUCUUCCUCACAGCCCUCAGAAGGAUCCAGCCCUGCCAAGAACUUGAUCUCAGACUUCUAGUCUCCAGAACUGUGAGACAGUGCAUUUUGUUUUGUAAGUCAGCCAUAUGGUUUGUGGCACUUUGUUAUGGCAGCCCUAGGAGAUGAAGACAAUAUGCAACAUGGUAUGUCCAUUAUAGGACACUGUGGGCCAUAAAUGUGUUCUUUGGCCUGAAGAAAUAAAACUUGGUGGUCCAAGUUGAUGUCUUAUCAUCUGUUCCAGUUCUUUUAUAGUAUUUUU